rfam:Schistosoma rodhaini strain Burundi genome assembly, scaffold: SROB_scaffold0002531
AUCCAGCUGACGAGUCCCAAAUAGGACGAAAUGCGCGUCAGACUGGAU